rnacentral:rRNA from 1 species
CUGUUCGCUAUGGGAUGGCCCCGCGGUGCAUUAGCUAGUUGGUAGGGUAACGGCCUACCAAGGCAAUGAUGCAUAGCCGAGUUGAGAGAACUGAUCGGCCCACAUUGGGACUGAGACACGGCCCAAACUCCUACGGGAGGCAGCAGUAGGGAAUCUUCCACAAUGGACGAAAGUCUGAUGGAGCAACGCCGCGUGAGUGAAGAAGGUUUUCGGAUCGUAAAGCUCUGUUGUUGGUGAAGAAGGAUAGAGGUAGUAACUGGCCUUUAUUUGACGGUAAUCAACCAGAAAGUCACGGCUAACUACGUGCCAGCAGCGCGGUAAUACGUAGGUGGCAGCGUGUCCGGAUUUAUUGGGCGUAAAGCGAGCGCAGGCGGAAGAAUAAGUCUGAUGUGAAAGCCCUCGGCUUAACCGAGGAACUGCAUCGGAAACUGUUUUUCUUGAGUGCAGAAGAGGAGAGUGGAACUCCAUGUGUAGCGGUGGAAUGCGUAGAUAUAUGGAAGAACACCAGUGGCGAAGGCGGCUCUCUGGUCUGCAACUGACGCUGAGGCUCGAAAGCAUGGGUAGCGAACAGGAUUAGAUACCCUGGUAGUCCAUGCCGUAAACGAUGAGUGCUAAGUGUUGGGAGGUUUCCGCCUCUCAGUGCUGCAGCUAACGCAUUAAGCACUCCGCCUGGGGAGUACGACCGCAAGGUUGAAACUCAAAGGAAUUGACGGGGGCCCGCACAAGCGGUGGAGCAUGUGGUUUAAUUCGAAGCAACGCGAAGAACCUUACCAGGUCUUGACAUCUAGUGCAAUCCGUAGAGAUACGGAGUUCCCUUCGGGGACACUAAGACAGGUGGUGCAUGGCUGUCGUCAGCUCGUGUCGUGAGAUGUUGGGUUAAGUCCCGCAACGAGCGCAACCCUUGUCAUUAGUUGCCAGCAUUAAGUUGGGCACUCUAAUGAGACUGCCGGUGACAAACCGGAGGAAGGUGGGGAUGACGUCAAGUCAUCAUGCCCCUUAUGACCUGGGCUACACACGUGCUACAAUGGACAGUACAACGAGGAGCAAGCCUGCGAAGGCAAGCGAAUCUCUUAAAGCUGUUCUCAGUUCGGACUGCAGUCUGCAACUCGACUGCACGAAGCUGGAAUCGCUAGUAAUCGCGGAUCAGCACGCCGCGGUGAAUACGUUCCCGGGCCUUGUACACACCGCCCGUCACACCAUGGGAGUCUGCAAUGCCCAAAGCCGGUGGCCUUAACCUU